CUGUAUUUGCAGUUGGCCUCAAGAACCAGUGAAAAGGUCGCUGCCAUAGACUCUGGCCCUGGGUCCACAUCAAGCAAACCUCCCUGAGUGAUUCCUGAGCAGCAUCACCAAUGACUGACAGUCACUCUGCGUCCUUCCAGCUCUCCCCGAGGGCCUGGUGGAGGAGCUGCCCAGGGACAGGGCAGAGGAAGAGAGUCCAUUUAAUGCCAAGGUGGCCUCAGGGGUAACUGAAAAUGCGACCACAGAGCAGAACGGGCACAAUGAACGCUUCCAAUGGGGCUUCCUCUGUGUUGAAUUGAUGCACCAGAGGCAGCAGACAUAUCUGCAUUUUAGGGUGCUGGAGGUCAGCUGAGGAGGAGUCCCCUUAAAGAAGAGUGUGUGUGCCAGGAGCUGGGUAGGUGUGUGGGUAUAUAUCUAGCCACCA
rnacentral:lncRNA from 1 species